UAGCCGUAAACGAUACUCGCUAGGUGUCGGCCACGGUGCGACCGUUGUCGGUGCCGUAGGGAAGCCGUGAAGCGAGCCACCUGGGAAGUACGGCCGCAAGGCUGAAACUUAAAGGAAUUGGCGGGGGAGCACCACAACGGGUGGAGCUUGCGGUUUAAUUGGAUUCAACGCCGGAAAUCUUACCGGGACCGACAGCAACAUGAAGGCCAGGCUGAAGCUUUGCCGGAUUAGCUGAGAGGAGGUGCAUGGCGUAGACGUCU
rnacentral:rRNA from 1 species